rnacentral:rRNA from 1 species
GACAGAGGUCCCGAGCGUUAGACGGAAUCACUGGGCUUAAAAGCGUGUGUAGGCGGAAGGGUAAGUACCUUGUGAAAUCCCACGGCUCAACCGUGGAACUGCUUGGUAUACUGCUUUUCUUGAGCCACUUAGGGGCAACCGGAACAAAUGGUGGAGCGGUGAAAUGCGUAGAUAUCAUUUGGAACGCCCAAUGGUGAAAACAGGUUGCUGGGGAGUGUGCUGACGCUGAGACACGAAAGCCAGGGGAGCAAACGGG